rnacentral:rRNA from 1 species
GGUUCGAUUCCGGAGAGGGAGCCUGAGAAAUGGCUACCACAUCCAAGGAUGGCAGCAGGCGCGCAAAUUACCCACUCCCAGCUUGGGGAGGUAGUGACGAAAAAUAACAAUGCGGGACUCUAAGAGGCCCCGUAAUUGGAAUGAGUACACCUUAAAUCGUUUAACGAGUAUCAAUUGGAGGGCAAGUCUGGUGCCAGCAGCCGCGGUAAUUCCAGCUCCAAUAGCGUAUAUUAAAGUUGCUGCAGUUAAAAAGCUCGUAGUUGGAUCUGGGGCUUGAGGUCGCUGUCUAUCGUUUCGGCGAUGACGGUGAUGCUCAGCUCUGCUUGCCGGUGACUGUUGCGGUGUUCUUCACUGAGCGCUGUAGCAGCACGGCACGUUUACUUUGAAAAAAUUAGAGUGCUCAAAGCGUGCUUGUCGCUUGAAUAAUGUUGCAUGGAAUAAUGGAAUAGGACCUCGGUUCUAUUUUGUUGGUUUUCGGAGCUUGAGGUAAUGAUUAAGAGGGACGAACGGGGGCAUUCGUAUUGCGGUGUUAGAGGUGAAAUUCUUGGAUCGCCGCAAGACGGACUACUGCGAAAGCAUUUGCCAAGAACGCUUUCAUUAAUUAAGAACGAAAGUCAGAGGUUCGAAGACGAUCAGACACCGUCCUAGUUCUGACCAUAAACGAUGCCGACCAGCGAUCCGUAGUGGUUGCUUUAUGGACCCUACGGGCAGCCUCCGGGAAACCAAAGUAUUUGGGUUCCGGGGGAAGUAUGGUUGCAAAGCUGAAACUUAAAGGAAUUGACGGAAGGGCACACCAGGAGUGGAGCCAGCGGCUUAAUUUGACCCAACACGGGAAAACUCACCCGGUCCGGACACCGUAAGGAUUGACAGACUGAUAGCUCUUUCUUGAUUCGGUGGAUGGUGGUGCAUGGCCGUUCUUAGUUGGUGGAGUGAUUUGUCUGGUUAAUUCCGAUAACGAACGAGACUCUAGCCUGCUAAGUAGUGUUGCUAUUGUUAUAUGGUUGACACUUCUUAGAGGGACAAGUGGCAUUUAGCCACGCGAAAUUGAGCAAUAACAGGUCUGUGAUGCCCUUAGAUGUCCGGGGCCGCACGCGCGCUACACUGGAGAAGUCAGCGUGUGUUAUCCAAGUCCGAAAGGACUGGGUAAUCCGUUGAACCUUCUUCGUGCUUGGGACUGUGGCUUGGAACUAUUCCACAUGAACGAGGAAUUCCUAGUAAUUGCAAGUCAUAAGCUUGCGUUGAUUGCGUCCCUGCCCUUUGUACACACCGCCCGUCGCUACUACCGAUUGAAUGGUUUAGCAAGGUCCUCGGAUCGUGGCCGUAGGGGCACGCAAGUGUUUCUGCGGUUUGCGAGAAGACGACCAAACUUGAUCAUUUAGAGGAAGUAAAAGUCGUAACAAGGUU